AUCGCACCAAACGAUUCAUUCACAAAUUCGAAUGAUCCGAUUGCAGCUGUUCUAGAGUCAACAACUCACUGAUUCAAUUGAACCGUUUAGUGCGAGUCUCCAGUGAACUCAAUUCACAAGUAAGAACCGGGAGAUCUUGUGAUCGCGCGCGCGACUGAUGCUGCUAAAAUGUCCGUCCAAACAUCCUUAAAAAAAGAGAUUCGGAUUCAUGGCAAAUCCAAGGACAGCAGUGAACACAGUGGCCAUCAGAGAUCUCUGUAGGUUGUGGAUCCGUUCAUCGUCACUACAUGCUAACCUUGCAGCCCACGCCGCCCAUCUGUCGAAAGGGAACACAGCGUGGCUGCUGCAACCUCUCAUUUGAAUUAUUCAGACUUGUAAGCAACUUUGUGCUCCCUGGGAAGGUGUGGGCUGGAGAAAAAUGGCUGGACGUCAUCUGAGGUCAGGUGUGCAAAUGGCUUCAUCUGAGGAGUCCUGCUGCCUAACGGGAAGAAAGAUCAGUUCAAGAGAAAGGUUUUUUGAAGCAGUUCGUUGGGACGAAUAGCCUACUGCAAAAUAUGCUUGUAAAGAAUAAAAUUAUGCUUAAGUUACA
ensembl:lncRNA